CCUUGUACGCACCGCCCGUCACACCAUGGGAGCGGGUUCUGCCAGAAGUAGUUAGCCUAACCGCAAGGAGGGCGAUUACCACGGCAGGGUUCGUGACUGGGGUG
rnacentral:rRNA from 1 species